rnacentral:rRNA from 1 species
UGAGGAAUAUUGGUCAAUGGGGCGAGAGCCUGAAUCAGCCAAGUAGCGUGCAGGAAGACGGCCCUAUGGGUUGUAAACUGCUUUUAUGCGGGGAUAAAGUUGGGGACGUGUCCCUUAUUGCAGGUACCGCAUGAAUAAGGACCGGCUAAUUCCGUGCCAGCAGCCGCGGUAAUACGGAAGGUCCGGGCGUUAUCCGGAUUUAUUGGGUUUAAAGGGAGCGUAGGCCGUCUUUUAAGCGUGUUGUGAAAUGCCGCGGCUCAACCGUGGCACUGCAGCGCGAACUGGAGGACUUGAGUGCGCAGGAGGUAGGCGGAAUUCGUGGUGUAGCGGUGAAAUGCUUAGAUAU